UGUGUUCGGCUGUGGGAGGCUGCCCUGCUGCCUCCACUGCUCCCAGGAGAGGGCAGCUCAGCUCCUUUGCAUUGUGAGAAUUCCUGCGGGAAUUGUCAGCAAGUGGCAGGGUUGUUAUGGCCAAGCCGGGAAGAGAAUCCUGAGCUUGAGGCCCGACGGUUGUUUGGAGGUGAAGAGUAGUCAGAAAGGGGCUGCAGCUUUGGAGGGAAAAAAGCUCUUGCUGCAGUAACUUUCUGAAGUCAUGCACAUUCUCCAUACAAAGCAAGGAAGAAAAUAUAUUUAAUUUGGUUUCCUGUAGAAGCUACACCCUUUUGGCACAGCUUUCAUUUACAACUGCAGUGAUAAGUAAGUAAUUCAUCUUUCUGUGCAAAUCAAUAGGAGAAUCUUGUUUCAUCUCUGUUUCCUUUCAUUUUGUUUUUCUUUGCUACACUGCUUCUCUCCCGCCUGUGUAAUCCCUCUGAUGGGAAGCUGAGCCUUGCCAAGAGCUGCCUUUGGGUAAUUGAGUCACUCACUCUUCCUCCUGCAAUCUCUGUCCAGCUUGAGGAAGGCUGCAGCACUCAGCUGCUGUUCAGAAAUAUUCUGGGUUGGUUCCCUGCCGUUGGCUCCUUGUGAAGUGGCAGUUCAGGCUUGGAGAACCUUUAUUCCUGUGGUGCUGGAGCCUUUGGGAAUUUUGAAAAUUAACUGGGUUUUAAUUCUAAACAGAAAGAUACACUUUGGACUGAAAUCAAAUCUGGAAAAACACAUCGGAAAAAGCCAAAACCUCAAGGCUCUGUGUGCAGUCAUAAAACUUUUUGCUGCACUUUCUAAUCAGGAUGCCUCCAUUCCCCAGCACACCUUGUUGAUUUAGUCUGGAAAGAGAAAAGUUCCCUUCACACAGCUCACACACAGCUCAGGUCCUCUGCAUGUUGUGAUUCAGCCAAAUGUCUGCUCUUAUCCCAGGCAAAAUGACCUGCAGGAAGAAGGAGAGGGCAGAAACAAUGAUCUGUGAGCAAAAGCAGAGUUUCAGCAGAAGGAAAAAUCUCAGCUCUGACAGUCACCAUCCCAUAGGUGAAGGGGCUCUAUCCCUGCUGUCCUCUGCCUCCUUCUCCAUAAGAGUAAGACAAAGGGGUGCAAAUUUUGCAGCAAAGAAAAUGCAAGGUGGAUAUUAGGUAUGUUUCUUGCCUGUUGGGGGCUGAGAGAGUGCAAAGUGCUGCAGGAAGGUUUUGAAGGUUUUGGAGGAGCAGUUAAGCAGAUUUUGGGACCAUAGGGUGUUGUUUGAGUCAUUACAGACUGAGGAAAGUUCCAUCCAAGGGAGCUGCAGAUGCAGGAGAUCCAUAGAGGGCUGCAGCUCCCGUGGGUGGACAUGUGGAUGGUCCUGAGCAGAGCAGAGACAGAGGAAGAAUCUGGAAUCCUAGAGGAAGGACGGCAAAAGGAGAGGACCCUUCCCUUACAGGUGUGACUGGAGCUGUGAUCAUGCCACAGCUGGCUGCUGGUUUCCCUUCAUCUGACACUGGGAAUGUCCUGCUCCUCGCACUGACAUGUGUCAAAUAAUUCACAGGCUGAAGGGAAUUCACAUCCCUGAGAGGGAACAUCCAGGGAUGCUUGUCCUGCCUCUGCAAUGAGGGGUCUUUGCCUAAUCUCAUGAGUUCCUUCCCAGCUCUUAGCACAGAAGCACUGCCCAUGAAGGCAGCAGAGUGCCACUGAAACUCUGGAAAAUGGCUGGAGUUUACAGGUAUUUUCAAACCAAAGAUCCAAACAGAGCCCUUAUUCCCACAUUAUUCCCACUACACAUUUUUCUAAUCUCAACAGUGGAACAGGUUCACAAACAGCCCUUCCUAAGGGUUUUGGUGGGGGUCAGAGGACUUGUCCCUCUUCUCUCAGUCUUACAGUUCUGCACCUUUCAUCAGAGACUGGGACAAAGAGUGUUUUUUUGGAUAAAACUCCCUAUUCCUUAUUCCUUUAGCAGCUUCCCGUGAUGCCAGGCAGCAGCAAGGGGCAUGCCCAGGAGCAAAGCACAAGAGGGAUCUCUGCCGGGUCCUCGUGUCCCCAGGACAAUCCUCUGUGCAGAGCCCUGAGCAGAGGUUUUGUGUAGCCAUCAUGACAGUAACGCUAUGAAAGAUGCUGCUGAUAUCAGUCUGAGACAGGAAACACGUAAGGAAUUAGAAACAGACUCUUCUGAAAGAAGCAAGACAACAGGAUAUAUUACAAUAUCAAAAUGUGCUUGACAGGUGGAAUUUAUAUAUCACAUAGUGAAAGAAGCUGUUUGGUGAGUGAUACAUUUCAUAUUAAAAUAUAUAAAUCAUUCACUUGGAGAAGAAUUGGACUCUGUGGGCAAGUAGCUUCGCUACUGCAUCUGACAUGCUGCCUGUUAAAACAGAUAUAUUCAUUUAUGAAUCUGAUAAUCAUUAUCUACUUUCUGUAUUUAUUCCAUGGUAAAAUUGAGAGUAAGGUGCAUCAGUCACAACAUCUGACGAUACUCUGUGUCUGUUACUGGCUUGAUUGUGUUAUUCCAGUGUUGCAGGAUAGUUAAUAGUCCCUAGUUAAUCAAAGUAUCUAUUGAUUAAUAUAUAUUCCCAUUAAGGUAAAUAUAAAUCAUAAUAAAUUAGAUAAUAUAACCAUAAUAAACCUGCUGUAUCCAGUAUGUAACAUACUAAAUCAAAAUUAGUAAUUACUAAUUGAAAUUAUAUCCCCUAGUAUAGCAUUAUAUAAAUCAAAGGCAUUUCUCUAAACUCCAUGCAUCAUUCAGAAGAUUAAUCCUCUGGCAACUGUAAAUGUUUUUCUACUCCAUUCAUUUGGCUAAGUUGGAUAAUGGUAAUAGCCUUGAGGUUAAGUACACAGCACUGUGUCAGAGCUGACUCGUGGUUGUGGCCACUGGUCCCUCUUGCCCAUCCCACUGCACCCACUGCUGUCCCUGGGCACACUCAGGGCACUGCACCAGCUCACAGAGCUCAGGGGAAGUUGUCUCUGCAGUGCUCUUGGAAGGCUUCUACCCUGUGCACUUGGACACAAAACAUUGGGGCACAAAAACAAAGAGCUCAUCUGGAAGAGACAUGGGGGGGUUUGGAUGAUCCCAAACCCAACGGGGUUUUCUUCUUCCUUACUUCCCACUUGGAACUUGAAUGACUUGAGAGGAGUGUUUGUUUUGAAUUUCUCUCUCCAGCAUCCCAGGGAGUGGAUGGGAACACCAAGAGGAGCUGUUCUCCCAUGAGAGGGCAGGGCAGUGACUGAAAAGCUCUGCAUUGACACAACAGCCUGGCAUGGACAGACUCGAAGUGAGAGGAUGCUGCCUGGGCCCCUGGAGGUCAAGGAAAGUCCAGUUCACUGAAGAGAACAGAAGAGAAUGAACCAUUCCUGGGCUUUCUAGCAGUGUGGGAGAAGAUCCAUGCUACAGGACAAAAAACCGUAUACAGCUGUAAGGAGUUGGUUCACACAGAAUUAGAUGUGCUGAAGCUGCCACCUGAUGUUUCCUGUUGUUACACUCGAGGCCUCUGUGUGACAUCUGCCUCUGAACAUUUCUGGUCACUGUCCUUAUAAAUGGGAUCAUUUAUAGAACAUAAGGGAUAGAGAGUCCUUCCAGGUAUGAUCUGCUCAGAGUUGCCUCAGAUUUCAUAAUUAUUCACAAUAAUGGCCCAUGGACAGGAGAUUUCUGUGUGGAAAUGCCAGGAAAGUAUUUUGAAAUUGUGCUGCUCUGUGCAGCAUUCAGCAUUCCCUAGGAAAGAGCCUGUAUUGGCACCAUUCCCUUGCACAGGGCUCUUGUCCUUCCUGGCCACUGGCAGAAAUGAGUUCACAAAUAUCUGUAUGUUGCACUGGGUUUCCUUCCCUCUGAGCCUGAGAGCAAGGAAAUAAAAUCAUAAAAUUGUUCCAGCAGCAGGAGUCCAGUGAAUGGGUAAUUGUCACACAAUGUAAAGGUGUUUGAAAGAGUGGAGAAAAAAAUAAUCUAAAUGUUCUCCUUUUACUGGGAAAAUGUAUUAUUAUUUAUGAAUAAUUUUUGCUGUUGAAGGGAAGUGUAAGAUACAAUCAGAGAGACCAUAAAAAUGAAAUUUAUAAAGUGUUAUUUACAUUAUAUUGGAGAAGAAGGAAGAACUGGCAGGGAGAAUUCUGGUUCAUUUAAAUACAAAAUCAGGUUAUUCAGAAUUGCAUUCUUAGAUUAACUGCUGUACAAAAUUUAACCCAUAAUUCUUCCUGCAGUAGAAAUAUGAAUCCUGGUGUAUGUAGGUGCAGCACCUGAUUUGUAGGACGGGUGAUCUAUAAAGAAAGAUUUUUGCCUUUGCUGUUUCAGUCUGUUAGUAGUGGAGCAUGAGCAGGCACAAAAUGUCAUAAUCUCAGAUUUUUGCACUUUUAUAUUUUACCAUAAAAUUAACUUCUUUCUCAGAUUGAAGGGACUGGACUGUGCUGAACAGAUUAGGGUCUGUUAGGAUGAAGUAACCCUGCACAUCCAUUGAAGAGAUGAGCACUCAAAAGGGGAUUGUAGUGCUGGAAAUUCUACCCAGGAAAACAUAACUAUGGCCACGAAUAACAUUUUCUUAUCUCUUCCUAUUGACAGAAAACCAGCCCAAGUAAAGUAAAUUUAUAGCAUAUCAGAUCCCUGCCAAGGGAAAAGUGUUGCCUUAAAUCAGCUCAAACCUGAUCUUUCCACUGGGAAAAGGAGUUCCUAGAGAACUGCAGAUUUGGUGGGUGCUUUCUGCUUUUCAGGACAAAUGACAGUUCCAAAGAAAAGGAAAAAGCCUUGGAUUGGAAGUUUGGGUUUUGGUAAAGAUUCUGAAGUUCUGGUGAGAGCUGGAGGAAGUUUUAUGUUCUGACACAGCAGGACAGAAGCACAAGGAUCAAACAAGGACUGUGCAGAAUGAGAUUUUCCUGGGAGCACCUGCUAGUCCCUGCCUAUAUGACCUAUGAGCUGUGGAAUUUCUCUUCCUUUUUUAAAGCUCAUUCUUUCCAGAGUUAAAAGGUUCUGGUUACUUCAGAGACAGAAGUCAGACCUUGCCAUGUUUUGUUCAGAGAAUGCAUCCAGAACUCCUCAGGCUCAAGAGUUCCAGGACACUCCAUGAAGUUCCUUAGAGGAGGGUGCUUGAUGGCAGAAUACACAGGAAUUAAAGGAGAAAAGGUCUGGGUGAUUCGUAUGGUUUGAAAAAUGGUGUUGGCUUACAACUUCUGUACUUAGUCUUGAAAAAAAUCCUCUGAAAAUCAAAACAGAACUUGGGAAAUUCAAUUUAAAUCAGCCUGAGAAGCCACGAAUUGAGUCAUCAGCACUGAAAUGUGAGUCACCUGUUUGCCAAAACAUGCAAAGAUGUCUGUUCUGUGUUAGAGCAGAAAUUAACCAACACCAGAUUUGAAAAACUGGCAGAUCUUAUCAAUACUUCCAGAUAGCACGAGUGGAGAUAAAUACUUUAGCUGAAACCUGAAAGGAGGAAGUUGAAGCUGCUCCUCAUUUUCCCCGUGGACCAUUGCUUUACUUGCUCUCAAGUAUAAUCCUUUUCAGCACAAUCAAGCUGUUUAAGUUUUCAUUUUUUAACAUUCAAUCCACUUUGAAAAUUUUCAAGAUGGACUUCAAAUUCAGUUUGGUUUUGGUAUUUUGAGGGCAGCAUGAGGAGUUCUUAUAAUAAUACUAUUUAAAAUGAUUGCCAGCUUUUUUACUUUGGAGGCAUUUACAAAAUUCCAAAUUGCUACUUAAAAGUGCAAAUAUUUACAUACAUAGAUGAAAAUCUGGCUAUAAUUUUUAUUUUGCAGACCACAUUUCAGAGCCAAGACAUGAAAGAAAUGGAUUCCUGGGCUGCAGAGUCAGAUUGGUUUAUUUCUUGCUAAUAAAUUUCUAACAGUGUACAUAUUUACUGAGAUCUUCAAAAUUAGCCUUUUCUGGGAAGGUUUGGAACAUCAGCUGUCAGGCUGUACUUUAGAAAUCUAGUUGUGUAUUCUAUUUACCCUCAGUCCAAGCAGAUGCUGUGGGUGGGAUCCCUGCCCAUGGUAGAGGGAUUGGAACUAGGUGGUCUUUAAGGCCCCUUCCAACCCAAAUAAUUCUGUGAUUCUAUUUCGAGCUCACAAAAUGACAAGUUCUUAAUCUUUAUGAAUAUUCUGGGAUCAUAUAGUUAAUUUGUCACUAUUUCUAUCCAGUUAAGUACAAACUUAUAUGCUGAAUGGAAUUUUAGGGAGGUUCCUUUGUCUUUAACUUUUGCUAACAAUGGUGUGUGUGUGUGUGUGAUAGCUCAGAUUGGAGAGUGGGUAUCUAGCUGAGUAAGCACACCUGUCUGUCCUUUUCCUUUUUAUAAAAUAUUCACCCAUCUAAUCAUUUUUUGUCUUGGAGAAAAUGGGAAGAAACUAUCCCCACUGAGCUUUAAAGACUGCUGGUGCAAUAAACACUCAGCAGAAAGUCAUCCUCAGUGAGUGGGUACAUUCGAAAGGUUAUGAACUGAAAGAGAAAAGCAAAGUCCUAAAUUGGAUUGCUGGCAGCAGUUCCUCAUGUUUCACUUAAGCCACUUUAGGUAAAAUGACUUUCCUUUUUGUUUGCCAGGAAAAACAAGAUGCUUUGUUUAAGUUCAUUACCUCUAAUAUUUUAUAAGUAGGUGGGUACAGAGCUAUGCUCUGUUUUCUGUGACCUGGGCUCUGAGAUGAGAGUGUUGUCGUCUGCAAGUCGCCAUUCUGUGCCUAUUUGGAUGCAGAGCAUCCAUCAUUGUGCACAGACUCUCUCUGAGCUUCCAUUUGUAGCCUCUCUGUGCUUGGGUUUGCAGCCCCAGCAGCUGUGCUGCCUAAAUAGAGGGGAAAGGCUUUUUUCUGCCACUUGCUUUUAUGCUUUGCUUCUCAAUGUUAGGUACAACCGAGGUGUUUCUCUCUUGGGUCAUGAGUAAGGUCAGACUGAAAGCACAAGCAUGGUCUGUGCUGACCGCCCCAGGUUCCCUGCUGCCUGUAGAGGUGUAGGAGAUGGUUUUGCUGGCAGGCACCUUUCCUAUGGCUACAGGGGACAAAAUGCCCAGUGGUAUCACCUGUAUGGACUGGUAUGUCCACAGCACACAGAUAUUCUGCAUCAGGCUCUGCCCUGUUUGCCCCCUGCCUGAGGCUGGCUGCUCACUGCCAUUCUGGACACCAGGCUCUUUGGGGUGAUUCUUCACAAGGAAUUACUCCACACCAGAACAAGGUCCUUUCCCUGCAGGCAGGUCAAACUCAGAUGUUGCUAAAGAUCUGAGACUUGUCCCAGAUUGUCACUAAAUCAUGGCUUUUCUGAGGAACAAAAGCAUUUUUAACUCUGCUCCUGGUUUUCUGUGGCCACAUCUGGUUUAGCCUGGGUGCAGCCACACUGGAGGUGCUGCUGUGGGUUCCUGCAGAGUUGUUCCUGGGGAAACAGUGCCAGAGGCACCUCACUGAUGCCAAGGAACCUUCAGGACACAAGGGAGGGUCCUGCUAUUCUACAUUAAUCUCAUUUCAGAGAGAAAUUAUUGAGACAAGAGUAUCACAAGGAAUAAUGGAGGGUUAAAGAGCAACCUCUGUGAAAAGGGUAUGAAUAACCUGAGGAAGGCACAUCAAAGUGCUCUCUUGGGCUAAAAAGCAGUCCAGCCUCAUCCAGAGACUGUAAAUAAUAUUGCCCCCAGGGUUCUGCUGCUCAAGAAACAGUACAAUAAAAUUCUUUCUGCAGACCACGGGCUCGAUUUGGAUGCUGGUGUUAUUGCAAUUUCCAGAAAGUUUAAGUGCUGCAAAGACAGUGGAAACUCAGCAGUUUGGAUUCUUCCUGGCUCCUUCCCCGAGCCCCCCACAAACACAGUAAUUGCAGCUGCCCAGGACUGGGACUGUGGGCCAGAGCAGCCCCAAGCCCUCCCCUAUUUACACAGGGGCCAGUUUCUUUAUAUGAAAAACAGACCAAAACAAAACCCCACAAAACAAAACAAGUAAAACUGCUUCUUUAAGGGCUCUUUCUUCAGUUUUAGCAUCCUCUAAAUGACUCAAAUGGGCUUUAUAGGCAGACACGAGGCGCGCUGUGGGUGAGGAUUAAGCAAGCCGAGUUUAAUCCUACAAGGAAUAAUCAAAUGUGGAAACACCCUGUUCUGUCCCCUUGGGGGACAUUCAGUGAGCUGCCGUGUUCAGAGCAAGCUUUGUUGCUGGCUGGAGCCACCUCCUUGCUGGUUUCCUCACUGUGCACAAGUUGAUGCAACCCUGCCUAUUAACUUUUAUUUUAUGUUCUGUAUAUUUUUAUUAUGAAAGAGAGCAGGGAAACCAGUGUGCUUGGCUAAUCAGGUUUAUUUAUAUCCAGCCCCGAUGCUGCCAUUAUGCCUGCAACACACACAGUAAAGAACUGGGAUCUUUUGCCUUUUUCUGAGAAAAACACCAGGUAUUUAAGGCAAGUUGGUAGGGGACAGGGUGAGCAAGUUUUAUUUUAGAAAUGUCACUCUGUGCUACCUGGAAAUUGAAAACAUCCAUUCCAGGUAUCUUUGAGCAUUUGGAAAUUACUGUCACCUGAACGCUUUGACCCAAGCUUCACACAGAAGGCAAAAAGAGUAACAGUAACUAAGUGAAAAUGAAAAAUUAAUUGUCUUUUUCUCCCUGGAGAAGAGAUCCAUUCUGCUGGAGCUGGAUAACACUUGGAAGCUACAGAGCUCCUUUUCAUUAGAGAAAUGAAAGGCUCAUCAUCCCUAGAGCUCUUAAUUAGGCACCUUUUGCCAUUCACAAAAAUCUGUGUCUCUGCUGUCAAGUCCUAUUUGUUUUAAAAAUUGAUUCAUUCUCUUCAGUUCUUUUGUUGGGCAGCAGAAAUGGAUAGACCAAAUGAGUCCAAACACUUUGUAAAUUGUAAGAGGUUUAAUAUAAUCAGCGUGGCCACGCCAAGCUCAGAGAACAAGUGUACAGCAAUGCUUUGGUGCCACAGGCUCACAGAGCAAUAACAAAAUCCAUGUUCAAAGCAGAGAGGGCUACAGAGGACAGGAAAAAAAAGUACAUCUGGAGCAUUAGCUCCCUGCAGACCUAUAUGGUACUCUUUCAUUUAUGGUGGCUAUUAAUUCACAGGAAUUACGUAUCACUUAGGUAGGGAGGGUCAAAAUAAAAGUGUUUGGGUUUAAAAAUAUUCAGACUGAAUGGUUUUUAGUGCAGGUUUUCUGGUGAGGAGUGGUUUAAGCCUUUUGUUUAAAGGAGAUGGAAUUUCUUUUUCACCACCACCCAAAAAAUAACAUCUCUUAGGUGUUGAAUAUAAAUUUAAACCGAGAUCAUCUGUAUUUGUAAGCCUUCCUUUGAAGCAUUUCUCCUUAUGAUAAUAUUCAAUAUCUGUUUACAAGGUUUUGAUUUCAUGCAGGAAACAACUGCUUUUGUACAAACAUGUAAAUCUAUAUAUGAAUGUGAGUAUUUGCAUAUAAAUGUGUCUUCUACAUUAUUUUUUUGUUUUAAAAAUCUCAGUCAGCCUUGAAACAGGAACAAAACAAUAACCAUCACUCAUGUGACCUGCCUGACUGGAGCUCAUCAGUGAACCCAAGCAAAGCUGAUGCUCCUCCAUCAUGCAGGAGGCUGAGCCUUCCAAGAGUGGGGUUGCUGCUUUCCAGGCUGAGAAGAUUCUCCAGUUACCUGCAUUUUCAGGUUUAGAUGAUCUUUUCAAUUCAUAGCACUAAAUAUGCAGAAGGCUUUGUUGCAGAAUUUGGUAUAAAGACUCCAGGUUUUUUCCAAAACUUAUCUUUUAGGCUUAAAACUACUAUAAAAUUGCUCUUUGCAUAGUUAGAGGGGCAAAUGGCCCAUUAUUAAUCAGUGUAGUGCAUUUUGGAAGGUGGAUACAGGGAAAGGUAAGUAUUUCUUUUUUGUGAAAGCAGUACUUUCUGGGGAGAAAGUUUUAAAUAAAGGCCAGCAUGAUUAGAGGAAAAGGGUAGAUAUAAUUGAUUCAAAGUCUUACAGGAGUAGUUUUCAUACUGAUUCUCUGAUUAUCUUUUCAGUACAUACAUCUUUCUCUCUAAAAGUGGUGCCAGUUUGAGUCACUGCUUCCUGUGUUUUGUAGCUGCACAGAUGAGCUGUGCUGGGAGAAAGCCCCAAAGAAUUUCCCCACGUGCACAGGAAGGAUUACAGACCCUGUGUUAGAUGCAUGAUGUAUCCUUGCAAGCUUCACCAGCCAAAUUGUGCCAACACUGGUGUCUCAGCUAUCACUGUGGGGUUUUAGUCAUUUUUUUCCUCAGCCUGUUAAAGAAGUUGUCAACAAAAGUAGCAGUGUAUUAGAAAUAGCUUAAGAAAUUAUAAAAAUGCUCACCUCCCAAAUUUCUAUUUGCUGUUGCUGCUGGCAUUCACAUGAGAUCCAAGACAAAUACCUUUAUUUAGUUGAGUAAGGCAGGAUUUUCUUUUUAGUUCCUUCUUUUCCAAAGAUAAGCAGGUCUGACUCCUAUUUUAUUGAUUGAAAGUUGAAAUUUCCAUAACCAUGCUGAGAGUCUUGCUGACAGAGCAGUGUAAGCAAAUUGUCUUAGAGGUACUCCCUUCCCAGAGGAUGGAAUCGAAGAGGAUUUAUGGAAGAGCUUCACACAACAAAGGAGUUUUGCUCUUUCCCACAUGUAGACAGUGCUCACAAUGCCCAAUUCAGAUUGCUGAGUUAGAUCAUGGCCAUUGCCAACAAGGCCUUCUCAAAGGCAGGUGCAGCAUUUCAUGCUCACAUUUUUUGCCCAAGGUUGCAGAAGUCCCUUCAGUCUGUAUUUUGCUUACAAACAUGAGAGAUGAUCCACACACGUACUCUGCAUUUGCACUGGAUUAGCUGUAAUUAGCAGCACGAGUUCUUUUGGGUGAUGACAGUGAAAACAUUAAACAUCAGGGCCUGCUGGAGCUGUGCAAAACCCAACAGAGGCACCCUGUAGGCUCUUAACUUACUUAUUUACCCUGUAAGAAUCUCCUUGGGUCUCCACCUGUGGAAAUGCAGAGUGAAACUCUACUCAGAAAAGCAGUUUCAUCUGGUGGUGUAGCAGGGCCAGGCAUCUGCUGUGUCAGAAUGAAAAUGUGACACAUUGUGUUCAGCCAGACCUGAGAUGAAUUUUGAAAAUUGCUCAAGCUUGGAAAGCUUCACAUGGUUUGGGAGGAGAAUGAGCUGCUGAAAUGCUCAGCAGCCACUGCAGAUCUCACACGUGUGUUGAGCAACACAGGAUUAACAAAUCUUGGGCCUGAGAGAGAAAAGUCUUUGGGGGCGAGUAUGAACCAUGCAAAGCCUCUUGUUUGUAUCUGGGCAUUGGACAGCUCCAGUAAACCCCUGAGUAGCUGGCAAAACAGUAUGAAAAUCUGCAGUUAUUUCCCUUUCCAGCAAGUUUGUUUAACCCCUGACAGAAUCACUCCAGUAAAGGUGAGGAGUCUGGUCACGGCUUGUUUUUAAAUUUUAAUCAGUCUUUGAGCAGUUAGCUCAAAGCUGUGUUUACAGUUGAAAAUAAAUCAUGAUUUGGACCUUUCCAUCUGAAAUUAGGACACUCAGGUUAGCCCUGCUGGUGACUGGGAGAGCCAUGGUGAGUGUACCCAUGAGAAGAAUCUGAAUUCCAGUUUUCCCUUCCUGUGUGCAGCACUUCCAAAGCUCCAGCACUUGCAAACAGCUGUGUUAGCACAUCUGGAACUGGUCCUGUAGGGAUCCAUCCUGUUGGGGAGCCCUCUGCAGAUCUGGGAGCAGAGCCUGGGGCUCAGCCAGCUAUGAAAUCAAGUGAAACAGCUAAUUCCUGUCAGGAGGGCACUGCCACUCGUGUUGCUUUGCUGUGACAGAGGAGGUGGUUACAAACCUCAGUUUACAUCUUCUCAUUUCACUCAGCUCCAGUAAUUAUUGACAGGUCUAAUUGCCACCAGAUGGCUGUAUUUUAGUGUAGGACAGUAUCAAAGACCCCAAAAGCUUCUGUAAAUGUACAGCUUUUACCUGGAACCUUAGGAAGGCAGAGAACAGCACGGAUGGAAAGCUCACAGAAAUCACAGAAUCAAUUAGGCUGGAAAAGACCUCUGAGAUCAUUGAGUCCAGUCUAUGACGCAACAACACCAUUUCAACCAGACCAAAUAAUGAUUUCUGAAACCAGUGGGAAUUUUGCUGACAGAUACCAGAUAUUUCAGUAUUUGAAAACCAGCCACAAAUAAAAUUGGCAGCACUCAACUAAAUUUGAGCAGGAAGGAAAAUGUGUUAGGGAAGGGAAAACAAAUGCUCCAUUUACAUAACAAUAAAACUUUAUAUGAAAAAAGAAGCCACCUGAGAGUGUGAAAUACCUUCCAGUACUGCCUGCUCAGGGCAGCAUAAUAAUGCCUGACUUCGUAAUCUGAGCUGAGAUGUGAUGUUGUGGGAGAUGCAGAGGAUGUGUUUAAUCACCCUGUUCUUUGCUAAGUGAGUCAGAUAAAAGACUGUGUGAGAACCAUAGUCAGAGGAAGGAAGCUAUUGUCAGUCCUGGGCACUGAAACUGAAUGAGUCUACAUUUUUAAAAGUUACAUACAUUACAGCCUUCUGAAGGACUCAUUGAUUCAGGGAUCCUAAAACAACAGACAAUGUUAAAGGACAGCCUCGGAGAGGGACAUACAGUCAAACUGCAGCUGUGGGAAUGUGGCCAUAAGAUACUGAUUUUGUAGGGUCCUGAAAUGAUUUGGGCCAACUACCAUCUCCAUUACUGCUUUAAAACAGAGUCUGAAAAUGCCUGUGUUUGGAAGAAGCAAUUCUGUGCUGAAUUUCCCUGGCAAAUCCCAUCACUCAGCCUAAGAGAGGAGAAGUUGCUGAACUCGCACACGCAGGGAAAGACAGUGAAUUACAGAGGUUUGCAGCUUCAUGUGGAGAGAAAAUUGCAGGAUUCAUAAAGCAGUAGCUGGAAGAAGUGUGUACAGAUGCUUCAGAGACCUCUUGUGCAAACAGACAACACCUUAACUCACAGAUUUAGAAGCAGAAUUAACUUUGUUCUUCAGCACUGCUUCUCUUAACUGCUUCACUGCCAUCACAGACGCUACUGGAACACCUUCUGGCUGCCUUAUUUGGUACAAUUGAGUCUAAUAUCUCCCCCCAAACUAAUCACCUUUAGCAGCUCUCACUGGAUUUGCUGCCUGGGCCCUGGUACUAUGUUCAUCUUUUAACUUCCAGUAUCUGACAAUUAGCUGUUUUCUUCAUAUUUUACCCUGGACAUAGAGGGUAGUACCUCACAGACCUGACUGUAUGAACUUGAUUUUACACCUUUGUUUUUCAAUUUAGACACAGUUGACUCUGGAAAGGAUUUAUUACAGCAUGAAAUACCUGAUUCAGCAGAGGUAACAUCACAUGGUGCCAUCCUCAAUAGCAGAAACUUCCUGAAUUCAUUUUGAAGUUUAUAAAAGACAUCAAGUAUCAGAAUGGUCACUUUUACAUACCAUGAAGCAGUCAAGGUUACUCGUGGAGCUUACAACAUGUUUACUCUUUAUUCAGUUCAUGCAGAAUUCAUUGUAUUUCAGGGGGGAACUUGACUUUGUACUAGAUGAAUAAAUGUAGACUUUAUAGAUGGUAACACCUAUGUAUUUUUUAAAGUUCCUUUCUGUAUUAGGGAUACCUAAUACACACCUACCACAGCCUUGCCAGUUUUAUUUCCCUGUCACCCAGGCCUCGUGAGCUAUUACUGUAUAAAUAGAUUUUUUUCUUCCUUUCUUCCCUUCCUUUCUUUUUUUUUUUCCUGUCUUUUAUUUCUGUAACCACCUGACCACUUGUCCUGGAGGUGAAGGCCUGCCCUGUGCUCCCUUUGUGGGGUGUGUGUCGCUGUGGAAGCCCCCGGAGCAGACGAGGCUGAGGCGGCAAUCCCCCACCCUCAGCAGGAUGUGCAGCUCACAUUAGCAGCUCCCUGGGGAGCAGGGCGCUUACAGAGCCAGCUCGGGCUGCUCCUGUGUGGGACAGCACAGGCCGCGGAGGACACAGGCCACGGAGGGCACAGGCCACGCAGGGCACAGGCCACGCAGGGCACAGGCCACGCAGGGCACAGGCCGCUGCAAGCAUUUCUGGGCUCGUGCUGCAAAAUGUCCUCCCUGCGCCUGGCAGAAGCUGGGGGGCUUGAAGGAGAAUAAUUCUGAGGAGAAUGGUUUCAGACUGCUGCGGUUUGAAGUUUGUUAGAGACCUGCUGAGCAGCACUGCCCCGUGUUCUCCUGGAGCUGCUGCCCUGCCGGCGUGAGGAGUGACGGGCCAAGGCCCUGCUGUGGGCCCGGCCCUCAGCCAUGGCAGCCGCGCUCGCUCGUGGGCUCCUCUCCCAACAACCCCGGCCACGCCGGGCCUUGGCCCUGCCUCUGCCUGCUGCUUCUCACCCACCACCUCCUCCAAGUGCCCCUUCAGACUGUCCUUGCUUGAAGAGCUGCUCUGAACAAGUUCUGUGUGUACAGUCUCUACAGCGCAGCAGUACGGCAGCAGACAUCCUCCAGGAGAGCAGUGAUGGCAGCAAACCAGAGGCUGCUGUAAGCAGGGUCUGAAGAGCAGGACGAGGAGGUAGAGGAGAUGACUCAGAUGUGCAGGAGGCUGAGUGUGCACUGUGGUUUUGUUAGUAAGAAAGCUUGUGGCACUCUGAAUGCAUCUUUCAGCUUUCUGAAGAUGCUUUUGAUUUGUACAAGCUGAAUCAAAGGGCUGGGUGAGCUGGCUGAUCAUUCUCAGAAGGAAGAGGCAGCUGUGUUCAAGCUCUUCCCCUGACCUGAAUUCCUGGUUGGAAAGCAAACCAGUUUGCUAGCUGAAAAGAAAGUGUCAAAGGAUACUACAAUUAAAUUAUUUUUUAUUUCCACCUAUCAAAGAAAAUUAAGUGUGAGGGAUUAAGUGGAUAAAUGUAUCAAGUAAACCAGCAGUGAAAACAAUAUACUCCCUUCCUACAACUGUAAACAAUUACUGCCAUGUGAUUUGGAAACUGUCAAUUAGCUCUAAGCACAGUGAAUCAGAGCUGCUUUCUGGUGUAAUGAAAAUGGAGCAUCUCCCCGUCACAUCAGUAUAGAUUGCAUUAACCUUAAUGACUCCUGUAAGGCUAAACCUUGUCUUGCCAAGCAGAUUGAACACUGUGCCUUGUAAGCUUUGCCUUUAACUUAUCUUUGUAAAACUCCCAUUGAUUCUACUCUAAUUUAAACUAGAAAUACAGAAAUUGUCAGGUCUGAACAGACCACUGGUGCAACUAAUUUGAUUUUUUGUUGCUAACUGCAACCAGUGAUGGAUGGGCUCAGGGAAAAGAAGAAUGAUUCAUUCCCUGUCCCCUCCCCUUUUCUCUUUCCACUUGUACCCUUUCCCUAAUUUGUUUAAUUAAGUGUGGUGUGAUUUCUUUACCCCCAGUUGAUGACAAGUUUGUGUACUGAAAUGGAAAUAUUAACAGAUUUUGUGUCUUCAAACUC